UGAAGCUCUGCAAAUCCAUGGCCGCUUUGAUAUCUAUAGAUACUCUUUUAAUCAGAACUAACCAUAACUUUGCCCAAAAUUCUUUAGAUAUGGUCCGGCUUCAUCUUUUAUCUUCGUAUAUGGCCCAUCUUCACAUAAUCAAUAAAGAUAUUGGGGCUUUGAACCGGACCUCACAUAAUUCUUAGAGCUCACAACAAUUUCUCAUGCUUAAAAGAGAUCGUAAAAAUGGUAUGUUCAAACCCUUCCUGCAUCUCGUUCUUCCCUUUCUUAAUUAUCGAUCAACAACCACAGCCUCCAAAAUCCAUACCUUCAUUCUCCCUUUAAUCGAUCAGAUGUCUUCUUCCCUCUUAGAAAACGCGCCUCAUGAUCUCCUCUACCCUAAACUCGCUUUCCAUCGUUCACCAGUCUUCACGAAAUGGACAAGGGGUCUCCGCCCCCUCAUCCACCUCCAACCUUCACCUUCUGGUCCUUCUUCCCCUCCACCAGGUGGAUUUGAUUUUGUUUUCAAGCGAUUUCUGCGGUUUUUCGUUUUUCCCUGGUUUGAGGUUCGUAUCUUAGAUCGAGACAGGAGACGAAAUUAGAAGCGAUGUAUUUUAUUCAUCUUUCUCUCCCCCCCUCCUUCGUAUUGCCUAUCCAUCAACUGCAAUCAAGCUCGAUGCUCGGUUCGAUUACACAACCAAAAGAGCUAGGUCACGAAGUAUCCUGUAAGUGAUCCAUCUAAGAAUCCUCCAAGACUUCUGCUGAAUUCAAGGAGUGCUCUCUGCAAAGUUUAGAGUGCUUUCAAUGGCGACGAUCUUAUCCUUCGCCACAUCCGCCUCCAAUUUUAGAGUGAUUUCCAAAAUGGAUAUCUUUCCCUGUUUAUGAACAGGUAUCAGCAGCCACUUCACCUUCUGUUCCAAGACAGUUGGGACAAGUAUAUAUUUCUUGAUUUCAGAUCCAACCUGCUGAUUUUAUUCAAUGAUGAACACACACUUGAUAAUAUCAGCAGAUCCAAGUGUAUUUUCUGUAUAUAAGAUGGAAGUGUUGAGAGAUACUUGCACAAAAACCCAACCUGUGUUUAGAGUUACAACAGAUGAUGGAUAUCAGUUUGAUGGUCCAGAUCCUUCAUCAUGCUGGAAUAAAAUUUAUGAAAAAAUAAGAAAAAUACAUUCAAGUAGUUAUGAUGAGUCACAGGGUGAAGGUGAAUCUAUGAGCGUCUUCAAGUCAGGUGCUGAUAUGUUUGAUUUUUCUGAUCCUCAUGUGUUGAAACUUAUACAGGGGACAUCAAAUUCAAAGAUGAUAUCAGGGAGCUUACUCAGCAUGCCAAUUGGUUAUAGCCAUGUUCAUGUUAAAUGGAAGGAUCUUGAUAAGUGCAACGUCUGUCACAUGGAUGAGGUUGAAACAAAGCUGAGGCUUCCUGCGGUAAUAAGCAAAAUUUUCCAGCCUAGUAUCCACAGAGGAAUUACGGGAAGCUGUUCAAAUUUUUUUGAAGUCUUCCAAAGUCAAUAAAACUGAGGAAUGAUACAUAAUACCUUAUCUGCAUAUGAAUCCAAGGUUCACAACACGUUUCUUGAUCUUGAGGAGUCGAAUAUUCUUCGCCUGUAUAUGAGUGAUGCAAUAAUAGAUAUAUCUAAAGCUCGUGAAGCUUUUGAAGCAAAAGAAGCAGCACCAUCUGUUGCAGGUUUCUUGGAGUAGCAGCUGUGCUACAUGAACUAGAAAUAGUGCUGACAGUUUGUCUGUAGCUUUUGGAGUCCUUCAAUUUGAAAAAGAUCUCCUCCCAUUGACCCUUCUUAUAUAUCCCUGCUUCAGAGGGCAGUGAACAAGCCUCAAGCUUUGAAGCCUUUCCAAUUUCUGCCAUCGCCUAUACAGUAAUUUGAGUUCCAAGGUUAUAAAGGAAAGGGAACCUUAUAACUCCCGUGUAUAUAAUGUCAUCAAACGCUUUCAAUCACAAUGGCCAAAAGUAGAAGAUCCAAACAUGAAAGAUGCAAAAGAUGAUGCAUCUGUAUCACCU